rnacentral:rRNA from 1 species
UACGAAGGGGGCUAGCGUUGCUCGGAAUUACUGGGCGUAAAGCGCACGUAGGCGGAUUGUUAAGUCGGGGGUGAAAUCCUGGAGCCCAACUCCAGAACUGCCUUCGAUACUGGCGAUCUCGAGUUCGGGAGAGGUGAGUGGAACUGCGAGUGUAGAGGUGAAAUUCGUAGAUAUUCGCAAGAACACCAGUGGCGAAGGCGGCUCACUGGCCCGGUACUGACGCUGAGGUGCGAAAGCGUGGGGAGCAAACAGG